rnacentral:rRNA from 1 species
CCCAAUCCUGACACAGGGAGGUAGUGACAAGAAAUAACAAUACAGGGCUAAGUCAUGUAAUUGGAAUGAUGGCGACUUGAACCCUCGCCAGAGUAACAAUUGGAGGGCAAGUCUGGUGCCAGCAGCCGCGGUAAUUCCAGCUCCAAUAGCGUAUAUUAAACUUGUUGCAGUUAAAAAGCUCGUAGCUGAAUUUCUGCGUUCGUUGUUCUUGCUUUUUGCUUGAAUUUCGCUUCGCUGUUUCUUUACUUUGAGAAAAUUAGAGUGUUUAUCGCAGACUUUUGUCUUGAAUACUUCAGCAUGGAAUAACAUAGUAGGACCUUGGUUCUAAUUUGUUGGUUUGGGAGCUUGGUAAUGGUUAAUAGGAACGGUUGGGGGCAUUCG